UGGUGACACAGUAGGUACGACUCCAAACCCCAAGUUAAUUACUUCCCUCCAGAACAUUGACAAAUCCUAGAGCAACCUGAACAAAAUGAAGAAACAAUUUUCUUCCUCUGACGGCCUGUGUGGACCAAAAGUGCCGGUGAUCUUUUUCUUCCUCCGAACUUAUGGUCUUUUUGAGUUAUAACUGAUGUAGACAUUUUCCGUUGAAGUAUUGCGGACUUUUGGGUAGUAGACGCACAACCUGAGAAGGCAAUGUACAAGUCCAUGUAAUAAGAACAACCAAGUUAAUGUAUAGUAACAUCAUAUGUUCAAAAAUAAAAAUAAAUAGAGUUCUGUACUGUUUUUGCUAUAACAACUAAGUUAAUGUAUGCCAUGGGGCUGGACUAGGACAGCGCUGCAAAUCCUGGAGUGGUGGAGAGGGAGCUCAUGUCACUACCAAGUCUAUUAGGGUACUAGAAAUUCAUGGAACAUAAGUUAGACCAAACUAAUUGAUUACAAGCACUCCUAUGAACUGAACUUAAAUUAGAAAUUGAGCUGAACUUAAACAGUGGAAACUUAGAGUAAACCAAUCAGUAAUUUUUUCUUUGUUGUUAUUAUACUUAUUUAUUGUUCAUCUCCGAACUUUCUCAGAUUCAAUAUAUGGCCUGCUAGAACCUUUUUAUUUUGAAACUCUUUCCUGAACAUCUCAGGUUCUUUUAACAUACAACACAUAUUUUUGUUGUCCUUUAUAUAGACAAAAAUGCAUAUAUUUCUAACAAAAUGAAGAUACUGGCACUUCUUUGAUGGUUGUAGUUCUAGACUUUUGCACUAACUGGUUUUCAGUUCAAUAUACAAAAGAACAACAUACUCCUAGGAUAUAUGUAAUACCUUCUCUAAUCUAAUGUAACAAAGUAAUUGUGACACAAAGGCAAAUAGGAAAUAGCAUGACACUUGAGCUAGUAAAAUUCAGGGCAUAGUGAAGGUUCUUCUGGGAGGUCAACAACGUGGAGCCACAACUGCACAAGAAAAUGGAAUAUCUGGUGCCUCAUAAGUAUCUGUACGGGUUUGUCUCUAUGCGAACAAAAUGGAUGGUACUGCUGAUUCAGUGACUAUCAUAAGUCUUUGCAUUUUACGUGGUUUCAAUUCAAUCAAAAAUGGAACAGCAUACUGCAUAUUAUGCCUGUACAUGUAAACAUUAGAAACUGGUUUUAUAGGAAACAUUUUCAUUAAAUGACCACUACUUUGAGCGGCUACUUGGAAGCGAAGUCAUCUUAUCAGUGGCUAAUGGGUUAGCAGAGCUUUUGAAGAAAAUGGAAGCAAAGGCUAGCUAGCACCUUCGCGAACCCCAUGGCAAGAUCAUUGGCGCUGAACCUGGAAAUGGGGUCAAAAAGGCUCAUGCCGCGCUCGGCGGCCGUCUAGCGCCCUGCCGGCGGCAUUGCCUUGUGGUUGGCCCACCACCCGGCUCGCCAACAAGCUUCGGUUCGGGCUAGAUUCAUCAAAGAUGUCAAGCUUAUAAGCACUGCAAGACAAUCAAGACUGAGAGAAUACAAUGAGCACCUUGUCAAAUUCUCAGGUCAGUGGUUGGUCCAAAAAAAUUAUGUGGUCAGUGCCUCCAUAGAAGUAACAACAUGCAAGCUUAGUUCUUAGGUACAAAUUUGUAAACACUAGUAGUGCUACCAGCAUUUAUAGAUGCUAGUGAACUUGAACUUGUGGUCUCUCGAGAUCUGAACUGAUUGUGUUACAAGCACACACACAAAAUCUAAGAAGCUGAUACAAGUACAUGUUAAAAAGAUAAUCAAGUUCAUGCAUAUUAAUUGGGAGAAGUUCAGAAAGAAACUUUUAAAAAUUUUGUAUUAAAAAGAUGCAUACUGCAUAACAUCUGUACUCACUAUGACGAUGUGUUUGUACUUCCCAAGGUGCCACAUGCCCACAUGUGUACUCACUAUGACGAUGUCUUUGUACUGCCCAUGGUGCCGCAUCUAUACCCACUAUAAUGAUGUGUUUGUACUGCCCAAAUACAUACGCGGGAGCACAAAAUAAACAUUUAAAAAAAUUGGUACUCACAGGAAUAGUGACAGAUACACAUGAAAAGCAACCAUCUAAACAUGUUCUUUUCGCAUCUUCCCAAAGUACUCAAUCAGCAGAACAACACAUGUAAGGAUUUUAAUAGCAGAAGCAGAGAAAUAGAGAGAUUAUUGUGAGAGAGUGUCGUAGCAGACAACCUGGAGAAGCGUUGUACAAGUCCUCUUUUUUUCUCGGCUUGCUAUAUGCAUCGGAAAAGUUCAUACACUAUUGUCUAGCAAGUACACAAGUCAUAUUCAACAACAACUGUACUCCAUAUUGAAUCAUCUUACCCUGUUCAGAAAAAUAGUGAUUCCUAAAUAUCCAUCAGGGAUUAAUUUUUAUGUAUGUACACUGCCAAUCCAGACUAGAUACUUCCAAAUCCUAAAAAACUUUAUUACAAUAGUCAGGAGCGAACUCAUACAUGUAUAUCUACUAAUAAACACCAACAAGCAAUUACAACAGCAGAGAUAUAAUCUAAAACUCAUGGCAUAUAUCUUUGUAUUCAUCAAGUUGAAAUCAACAAAGUUUAGAAUUUCCAAACACUAAAGGGCAAAAAAUGGCGAAAAUAGUCUCAAGAUUUACGGUCUAUGUCCACCGAGAGUUUUGUUGUUAAUAAUACUAAUAGAAGCUUUUCCAACAAAGCAUUCUCUAAUGCAAAUCUUCCUAGCAACCUCACCCAAUGACAUUUAUGCAUUAGCUCUGGUUUGAUUUGAAACUAAAUUAAAUGAAAUUUGAGAAAAGCUGUUAGGAGGAAAGGAAACCAUUUUCCAAACAAGAAAAAUAAACAAGUACAAGCAUGUGUAUAGCAAGAGGAGUUGUUAGCAUGUUUAUGUGCAUGCGUAUGUUUGUUCAGUACACCAUGUGAUGCAAGUACCAACUCUUUUUCUCUCUGAAACAAGCAAGAUUCACACAAAUAUCCUGCAUUUCUAGCAUUCUGAGAACUAAAAUAAGAAUUGCACUGAAACUAAAGCUCGACCACGACUGUGCGUGCCGAGGGGCAGCAAACGAUGGUGGUGGCGGCACGCGUGGGCUGCUUUCGACAUGUCCACAUUACCACAAAGAAGUAAAAGACACUCAAAUUUUAGGAUUUUUUUAAAACAUUCUGCACACAACAUUUGAACAAAACAAGAACACCAAAGCUUUUUUCUUACAAUGCUUGUGGUCACCGUGAGCAUGCAACAAGCAGGAUCAGGCUCUCGGUGGCGCAAGCAUCGGAUCCCCGUUAGAGAAAGAUUACUUGCUGAAAGCCACCAUAUUUUCCUACAGUAAGACAAAGGAAAGAUAAUACAUAAAGCUCAUUAAUGAAAGAAUCAGCAGUCACAUUUUAAACGAAAACUUGUUACCAAAACUGAAAGCCACAAUUUUUUUCAAACUUCUGGGUGAGAGCAUGGUGCUUCAAGAUAUGGUUGCAAUUUUUUAAUUUGAUGCGUGUUGCAUUAUAGAACUGCUAUGGUUUUGCAAGUUGAACUUUUGGUAGUUUUUAAAUUUUUGCAUAGUGUACUGUCAAAAUCUUUACCACACAAAGAACACAUCUGCAUUACCACAUGGGACGGCGAGACCGACGCACACCUGGUGGAGGUCGCUGGAACUGGAUAGGGGUUGGGGGAGGAGACAUGGUGGAGAGGCGACGACGGUUGAUGAAACCGAGGCAGCGGAUCCUACCAGGAGGCGACCUGGCGAGACACGCUCCGGGGAGCCUGUCGGGCCGGGAUCCCGUAGUGGAGACAAGGAGCCAUGGUCGGGCAGGGCGGCAUGCUGGGGUAGAUAGGGCAAUGAUCAAAUAUCUGAAGAUUAUCCUUCAUUUUCAAAGCAAUGGAAGUUUUUGUUUCUCAAAACUAAAUGCAAUAUAAACUAACAGAAAACUAAGCAUAGAAGAUCUCCAGAACUUUGCAAAAUACCAUAUGUAACAUCCCUCAUGUCAAUUUUUAUAAAGGACUUACACGAAACAUGGAGAGUUCUUACUAUAGUUGAGUUACCAGGGGACUACAUAAGUUAAAUAUAUGGGGGAAGUCAGCAAUAUAAUGAUAGGUUAAAGGUUCAAAGACUGGUGAUUUUACAGGGCCUCUCAAGUCUGAACUGAUAUGAACUCCUUUUUGCCGAGCUACUGAUUUUUUAUAUAUAGCCAGCUAUUUUUUUAAACACACACAUUGAACCAUUUCUGGGGUUCUUGAUGAGCUGAUGAUAGAAAAACAUGUUGAACUGAACUUUAGGUUUCAAGAACAACCGAAUGUUUUUGGGUUCUUCUAUGUACCUUCUUGUUAUCUUUAUUCUGAACUCCAAGUCACAAUUACAAUCACAAUAUACACAUGUACUACAAAACAAUGUGCAUUUGUACUGUCCAUAAUACCGAAUUAACCAAAAACAAAUAAUUUAUGAAGGAAACAAUUUUUGAAUGUGGUUUGAGCUUUGUUUCUUCAGAUUUUUGAACUUGUGCAGUAUGUAUACCUGAACUUGUGUGAAUGACAAAAUAACACAUAGUUUUUUUAUGCUUUUUAAGAUGAAUUUAAAAAACAUAAAAUGGUGAACCUCCAGGGGUGUCGGUUUGGUGUUUGAAAUGUAAGAUGAUCUCCAAAACACACACAAAGGUGAACUGAAAAUUUUGGUUUUUUAUGUAUAAAAAUACAAAAACAUCUAUGGAUUUCACUCUUCAAAAUGGGUUCAAGCACCGCUUCUAAGCAAUACAUCCGAGCUAGCGUCCAUUCAUCCAACCCUCUCUGUUUCAUCACUUAACACGAGCCAACACGUACCUCGGCAUCGACAUCUUGUACAGGUGAACGGACAGGGAUGGUUGCUGUGAACAGACAGGGGUGGUGGUUGUGUACUGGCCGUGGUGAGGUUGCGUGGAUGGAGAGGCGGUGGCCGUGGCGAACUGACGAUGUGAUGAAAUGACAAACUAAUAUGCUCAUAAAUAGAUUCGUCGAUUACCAGAGAGAGAGGAGGCGAACUCGAGGACGGCCAGAGCUGGUCCAGGGAGGUGGGAGGUCCAAGGUGGGAGGGGAAGCAGUCCGGAGGUGGUGAAUCAGGGCGGCGGUGGAGGGGAAAUCGGUGCCGUGGCCAUGGAAGCAGAGGCGACGCCGACACACUGGUGGAAGGGGGAUCGGGGCGGCGGCGGGGCGCUGUUAGGAUGGGGCUAGGGGCCGGCGACGGGGCGCUGCUUGGAAGGGGCUCGGGGCGGGCGACAGCGCGAUGGUGGGANN
rnacentral:lncRNA from 1 species